rnacentral:sRNA from 1 species
AAUGUACACGAUAAUUAAAGGAAGAGAU